AAAUAUUAACAUAAAAAAAGAUCUUCAAAACAAUUGUAAAAAUAAGUAAUUAAGAAUAAAAGUUAUAAACUAAAAGGAUUUAAUUAAAAUUAAACUAAAACAAGGGGAAAAUUAGGAAAUAAAAAAAAUAAUGACGACAGGGACUAAUAUGCCAUGCGCGCAAAUGUAAAGGGACUAAAACUGGCAAUAUGCUAGGACCCAAUGUGCUGCGUUUAGGUGCGGAUCCAAUUGCAAAUAAGCGCAAAUUACAGGGCGAAUUAAAAAAACAAAAGAAAUACAAAAUAGCUAAUUGAGAUGCAGCGCAAAAGAAGAGGGACCUAGUGCGUAAAUACCCCAAAAGCAAUGAAAACGCACGGAUCUUCCCCGGGUCGGGUCACGCACGCGGGUCAUAUGCUUAAACAGUGCCGUUUUGGCCACUAAAAUUUGGGCUCCAAACGGCAUCGUAUAGGUCCAAAAUAAAGCCGAAAUUUUGGUUUUAAAAAACAUUUUGAUGCCAGGUUUUUUUUUAAAUAAGAGGACAGUCCUCUGUUUUAUUUUUUAGCAUGGCCUUAGGGUUUGGAGAACACAGCGGCUGGCCACCAUUGCUGAUGGAGGUGACCACCGCAGACGGCGACUGGAGGGACGUCCGGAGCCUAAACUAGGUCCCCACCUCGCGCAGAAGGCGAUUUAAAGCCACGAAAUCCCCUAAACGAAACCCAAAACCAUGAAGACAACCAUAAAACAAUCGACGCUUGGCCUCCUCUGAUACGAGCACGCCUCACGAACUUUAUCGAACAAGUCUGUCAAGCCGAGCAAUGACAUGUUGGCAAGCUGAUCCAAGCUCGUUUCCAGCUCCACGAGCUCCGUCCAGCUCAAAUCCAGCUUAUUCGAGCUCAAUCCAUCUUGCCUGAGCUAAACCGAGCUCACUCCUAGCUCACUUUCAACUCACGAGCUAAAUUUUAGCUCUACUUCAGCUUAGAAGUUUAGCCUCAGCUCAGCUUAGGAGUUUAGCCUCAGCUCAGCUUAAGAGUUUAGCCUCAGCUUAGACACGAACGACUCUCUCGAACUACGAUCGGGCAACUACGUGAAUUCGACUCAUCUACUCGGGCCGGAUCACAUCAUCCUCUGUCAUCAUCUUAACCGGAUCCCUAGGGAUCUGUCAGUUUUUGGACCGAAGAAGCAGACAUUGACGUUGGGAUUCGGGUAAAACUUCUCCUUUCUUUUUUAUAUUUUUGUGAUAGAUUUCAAAAAUAAAAAGAUAAAGAAAAAUGGAAACAUAAAAAUGAAAAAAAAAGAACCACCUUUGAAGAAAUUUCAUUCUAUGUAUUCGAUUGCUAUUGUGUGAGUAUAUUGCCUCUGUUUUUGUGUAUGUAAUAUGCGUGUGUUCGUAACCCUUACAAAGGUUAAAAACUAUGGCUUUAUAGCCGAAAAGAAAGAAGGAAAAUCAAUAAAAAAAUAUACAACAUUUUCUUUGUUUGUAUUUGCUGCUGUGUUUGCCUUGUCUGUUUGCAGGUACGGAGUACGCGUUGGCGUGUGUACGGGAGCCGUGCUGGCGCACGGAGGCGCUGGCGUGGCUGCUGGAGCGUACGGAGGUGGUGGCGCACAUGGGGAGCUGAGCGGUGCUUAGAGUUUUCCCCCUCUCAUUUGGCCGAAAAAUGUUUAGGAUAGUUGGGCUAGUUGGGCUUUAGGGCAUUGGGCCUAUUGUAUUUGGGCCAGAUUUGUAAAUGGACAUUUACUUAAUUAUUAGGUUUUUAUUAUUCGGUUUGUGGUUUGUUUGUAAUGGGCCGGCUACAAGUUUCAUUCUUCAUUGGUAAAUUAUGAUUGAGAGAGUGAAAAAUCUUCACUUUGAAUAUUUUUUUCUUAUGUUGAGAGCAAUUCUUUGUUGAUAAAUUUGAUGCGUUGUUAUGGUUAUUUUAUGGCACUUUUUUA
rnacentral:lncRNA from 1 species